CAAUCGAACGUGGAGAUAGCUGGUUCUCCCCGAAAUAGCUUUAGGGCUAGCCUCAUGGCAAGAGUGCAGGCGGUAGAGCACUGAACAGGGUAGGGGCCUAUCCGGCUACCGAACCUAAUCAAACUACGAAUGGCUGUACUUAUCCAUGGGAGUCAGACUGCGAGUGAUAAGACCCGUAGUCAAGAGGGAAACAGCCCAGACCAACAGCUAAGGUCCCCAAUGCCGUACUAAGUGGUAAAGGAUGUGGAGUUUCGAAAACAACCAGGAUGUUGGCUUAGAAGCAGCCACCAUUAAAAGAGUGCGUAAUAGCUCACUGGUCGAGAGACUCUGCGCCGAAGAUGACCGGGGCUAAAGUACGGAACCGAAGCUUUGGCAUGUAUGAAAAUACAUGGGUAGGGGAGCGUUCCUGCAUGGGCGAAGCCUGACCGGAAGGACAGGUGGACAGGCAGGAAGUGAGAAUGCCGGUAUGAGUAGCGAAAAGAAAGGUGAGAAUCCUUUCCACCGAAAGCCUAAGGGUUCCUGGGCAACGAUCGUCGACCCAGGGUAAGUCGGGACCUAAUCCGAGGCGAAGACGCAUAGGAGAUGGACAACAGGUUGAAAUUCCUGUACCGACGUCGUCUGUUUGAGCGAUGGAGUGACACAAGAAGGAAAGUUCGCAUGCGAUUGGAAGAGCAUGUCUAAGCAGGUAGGUUGAAUACCAGGCAAAUCCGGUAUUCUAAAAGCCGAGAAGUGAUAGGGAGCCUGUAGAGAUACAGGUGAAGGAACCGGGACUCGAUUGUCAAGAAAAGCUUCUAGUGAGGACGACGCCGCCCGUACCAAAACCGACACAGGUAGGCAAGAAGAGAAUUCUAAGGUGCGCGGGAAAACCCUCGUUAAGGAACUCGGCAAAAUGUAUCCGUAACUUCGGGAAAAGGAUAACCCAGAGUACGUGAAGGAAAGAAACAUCCGGAGCGGGAAUGGGUGGCACAAGAGAGGCCCAAGCGACUGUUUACCACAAACACAGGCGUCUGCUAAAGAGAAAUCUGAUGUAUAGAUGCUGACACCUGCCCGGUGCUGGAAGGUUAAGAGGACGUGUUAGCCGCAAGGCGAAGCAGAGAAUUGAAGCCCCAGUAAACGGCGGCCGUAACUAUAACGGUCCUAAGGUAGCGAAAUUCCUUGUCGGGUAAGUUCCGACCCGCACGAAAGGUGUAACGACUUGCGCACUGUCUCAACGAGGGACCCGGUGAAAUUGAAGUACCUGUGAAGAUGCAGGUUACCCGCGACUGGACAGAAAGACCCCAUGGAGCUUUACUGUAACCUGAGAUUGAAUUUUGGUAGAAGAUGUACAGGAUAGUUGGGAGACGUAGAAGCGCGCACGCCAGUGUACGCAGAGUCGAUGGUGGGAUACCAACCUUGUUUUAUUGAAAUUCUAACGAGAGCCGUAACGAGGCUGCGGACAGUCUCAGGCGGGCAGUUUGACUGGGGCGGUCGCCUCCGAAAGAGCAACGGAGGCGCCCAAAGGUUCCCUCAGCGCGGACGGAAACCGCGCGAAGAGUGUAAAGGCAGAAGGGAGCUUGACUGCGAGACGGACAGGUCGAGCAGGGACGAAAGUCGGGCUUAGUGAUCCGGUGGUAGAGAGUGGAAUUGCCAUCGCUCAACGGAUAAAAGCUACCCUGGGGAUAACAGGCUUAU
rnacentral:rRNA from 1 species